GACGAACGCUGGCGGCGUGCCUAAUACAUGCAAGUAGAACGCUGAAGGAGGAGCUUGCUUCUCUGGAUGAGUUGCGAACGGGUGAGUAACGCGUAGGUAACCUGCCUGGUAGCGGGGGAUAACUAUUGGAAACGAUAGCUAAUACCGCAUAAUAGCAGUUGUUGCAUGACAACUGUUUGAAAGGUGCAAAUGCAUCACUACCAGAUGGACCUGCGUUGUAUUAGCUAGUUGGUGGGGUAAAGGCUCACCAAGGCGACGAUACAUAGCCGACCUGAGAGGGUGAUCGGCCACACUGGGACUGAGACACGGCCCAGACUCCUACGGGAGGCAGCAGUAGGGAAUCUUCGGCAAUGGACGGAAGUCUGACCGAGCAACGCCGCGUGAGUGAAGAAGGUUUUCGGAUCGUAAAGCUCGGUUGUAAGAGAAGAACGAGUGUGAGAGUGGAAAGUUCACACUGUGACGGUAGCUUACCAGAAAGGGACGGCUAACUACGUG
rnacentral:rRNA from 1 species